rnacentral:misc_RNA from 1 species
AAGUCGUAACAAGGUUUCCGUAGGUGAACCUGCGGAAGGAUCAUUAAUGAUUUGGCGAACCGAGCGUUAGCGAGGUUUUGCGAUCAACUUGUAUUUAAAACCCAACUCUUUAUAAUAUUAUUUAUACAUAAUUUUUAAUGAUAAAAAUUAAAAGAUCACUUUCAACAACGGAUCUCUUGGCUCUC